GCAAGCUGCAAAGCAAGGGAAUAGAAAAUGGUGAGCAAGUGUCUCACGGGCCAGGAAGCCUUGAGGCCCGCCUGACCAUUCCUCCUGAGGCAACCGUCUCUCCGGUCUUCUUCCCAGCAUCAGCCCUGAAGAAGGACAACCAACGGACAUUAAGGAACAAGGCACGGACCUCUUUUAACAGGUGGGGAAGAGAAGAACAGGUAGCUCAACGAUUUGCUGAGGAUCACAUGAUCCUCCCCCCACACCGAGGAGCCCCAGGCUUCAGGAAAUGGCAGCGUACCGCCCCAGAAUGCCUGGCAGUUAAUUGAAUGGGAUCGUGCAACCCCACAGCAAACAGACUGCAUCCCACCGUGUGAAGAAGAAGAGCCUCAAAACUUAUUCAGGAGCUGAGCUCAUCUUUAACUUCACAUCUUAGAAAAUGUAAAUGGUUCAUGCAACCACUGUCUAUUUUAAUAACUUUGAAA